UUAGAUUAGUUGGUAGAGCGCUCCACUGGAAAUGGAGAGGUCCCGGGUUCGAUACCCGGA
rnacentral:tRNA from 1 species